UCUUUGCAACCUUGUGACUUUGCCGCUUGCACUCCUCCAUUGCUUGUGGCUCCAAUGAGGUUUGCGAAAAGCAAUUCAAAGAUUGAAGGCGUGACUUCUGCAGACUCGGAAGCGUCACGUGCGAUGUUCUUUGGACACUUCUCCUGCUUUCCACGGCGGCGAUGACCUCGCUCUGUAGGCAUCGCCUUUCUUGAGGCAGGUAGAGGUAAACGAUGAAAGCCGGAUAUUGUUUGACGCAGGUGAAGACCUUCCUGUCAGACACUGUUGGCUGUCACACAU